rnacentral:rRNA from 1 species
AGCUUGUCUUUCUUUGCUGGCGACCGGCGCACGGGUGAGUAACACGUAUCCAACCUACCCUUUACUCGGGGAUAGCCUUUCGAAAGAAAGAUUAAUACCCGAUAGCAUAAUGAUUCCGCAUGGUUUCAUUAUUAAAGGAUUCCGGUAAAGGAUGGGGAUGCGUUCCAUUAGGUUGUUGGUGGGGUAACGGCCCACCAAGCCUUCGAUGGAUAGGGGUUCUGAGAGGAAGGUCCCCCACAUUGGAACUGAGACACGGUCCAAACUCCUACGGGAGGCAGCAUG